GGAUCCUUAACUUUUGGAAGGACCUUUGAGAACCUUCCUGUGCUUCAACAAUUUUGAGAAGCUGAUCCUUAAUCUCUCCAAGCACCUUGUUUGCACUUUUUCUGUAGAAAGAGGCUUUUGACAGAAGAUAAUACUGACUUAGGAACUGGUGGUUGUGGUGAUACUUGUGUCAGUUGUUGGUUCUUAGCUGGAUGCAGCUCCAAGGACAAAAUAAUCAGAGGCACCUGCUGGUAAACUGCUCCAUUCAGGACAGAUCAGAGGAAAAAGGAACAUGUGUAUCUUUACUAGUGAUGGUAGAGGCUGGAGUAAUGUUUUCACUAGAAUGUAACUGUCUGUACUGCCUGCAUUGUAAAAACAGAGGGAUCCCACCGGGAAGCAGCAAGCCUGGUGCCCUAGUGCAUGCUGAACCUGGGCUUACUCUUAAAUUUGCCAGUUCUGCUGGAGCCUAGCGUUGAGAAAUAUUAUCCAAAUUGUGAAGAGGGUCCUGUCCCAGACUCACUUUGGUUCUUAUCUGCCAUUAUAUGUGAAGAAAAUGUUAUAGAUCACAGG
rnacentral:lncRNA from 1 species